CCUACGGGAGGCAGCAGUGGGGAAUUUUGGACAAUGGGGGCAACCCUGAUCCAGCCAUGCCGCGUGAGUGAAGAAGGCCUUCGGGUUGUAAAGCUCUUUCGGCCGGGAAGAAAUCGCAUAGGCUAAUACCCUGUGUGGAUGACGGUACCGGAAUAAGAAGCACCGGCUAACUACGUGCCAGCAGCCGCGGUAAUACGUAGGGUGCGAGCGUUAAUCGGAAUUACUGGGCGUAAAGCGUGCGCAGGCGGUUUCGUAAGACAGAGGUGAAAUCCCCGGGCUCAACCUGGGAACUGCCUUUGUGACUGCGAGGCUAGAGUACGGCAGAGGGGGGUGGAAUUCCACGUGUAGCAGUGAAAUGCGUAGAGAUGUGGAGGAACACCGAUGGCGAAGGCAGCCCCCUGGGCCGAUACUGACGCUCAUGCACGAAAGCGUGGGUAGCAAACAGGAUUAGAUACCCUGGUAGUCCCACGACCUAACGAUGUCACUAGUGUUGGUGGGUAAACGUAACUUAGUUACGUAGCUACGCGUGAGUGUACCGCCGUGGAGGUACGGCCGCGAGGUAAACGUACGUAAGUAAGUAGUUAGCGUGUUAGAGAGCGACGGACGACGACGACGGAGGAGGAG
rnacentral:rRNA from 1 species